rnacentral:tRNA from 1 species
CUUUUAAAGGAUAGUAGUUAUCCAUUGGUCUUAGGAACCAAAAACAU